rnacentral:tRNA from 1 species
GGCAUGCCGCCGGGGCCGCCGGGCGCCUCCCCGCGGGGGGCGAACGGGGCCUCUUCCUUGUCGGUGCCGUGCGAGGCGGCGUCAUGCCAC